rnacentral:lncRNA from 1 species
UUUUGGGGGAUAUAUUAGAGUUAUGUUUAUAUAUGUUUGGUCCCUCAUUGGAGUCCACCUGUGUAGGUUCGGACCCGAGGAACCGAGGACCCCAGCAGUGAGUGAGCUGCUUCAGUGUCUGGUCAGAGCUAACCAGAGGUGAGUGGAAACAAGCUUAAUGUUUUAAAUCGAAUAACUGAAUGUUUUGAGCAUGCUUCACGCAUCAUGAUGAUAUGUAAUAGGCUGAUUGCAUUAGUUCACGAAUAUGUUGCAUUGCAUUUUCUUUUGUGGUUGUGGGUGAAUGCUGUAUGAUCCAAUUAGUCCACGAGACUUAAUAUAUGAUAUAACAGGAAGACCAGGACCCCAUGCUACGGCCUGGCACGAGGCUUAAUACAUGAUAUGACAGGAAGACCAGGACCCCAUGCUACGGCCUGGCACGAGGCUUAAUACAUGAUAUGACAGGAAGACCAGGACCCCAUGCUACGGCCUGGCACGAGACUUUAUGUAUGUUAUGACAGGAAGACCAGGACCCCAUGCUACGGCCUGGCACGAGACUAUGUUGGGACUAAUUGGUGACAGGUUCACCCUUGAUGUGAAUUGUUUGUGAUAUGAUGCAUUUCAUGAAAGCAUGAAUUUUAAUAUAAUGUUUUUAGUUUCUGCUCACUGGGCUUUUAGCUCACCCCUCUCCCAUAACCCCAGGUUUGCAGGUACGGGAUUGAUAGAGAAGAAAAGAAGAGAAAAGUCAUAUGUAUGUAAUAGCUAGAGUAUGUGGACAUGACAAAUGAUAAGAAUGAAAUGUAAAGUUUUGAAACAGUUAUGUUUAUGUAACUAUGUUAUUGAGGAUAGAGUUGUGCUUGACCAUAGUAUAUGUUAAUCCCUUGGUAUGUACAUGAUCUUAUUUUAUGAUGUAUAUGUGAACCAACUCAACACAGGAUAUAUAUUGCCCAUUGAGGCUUUGAUGAAAUCCCUUGGAGGGAUUAAUGUUUAUGUAUAUGAUGAAUACAGUGCAUGCACAGGUUGAGUUUGGUAUAUGAAGAAAAAGAAAAGUUUUUAAUUCUUAUGUAUGUUUGUUGAUCAUGUAUGGGAUUAAACAGGUAAACAGGAUGUAUGUAGGCUUGCUACGGGUUCCGGCGGCCUUAAGCCGACCUGAAUCCUAGCGCCGGUAGCGGUCCGGAUUUCCGGGGCGUUACAU